rnacentral:lncRNA from 1 species
AGAAUAAGAAAGAGAUAGUUUCGAUUCAAUUUCAAACGUUGGUUGAUCCUUAUUACCAAUUCAAAUCAAAUUUGAAUUAAAUUUUAAACCAAACUUUAUCUUUCUCUUGAAAACUUAAAAAGUGGUCAACCAAUAUUACAAUGGCACAAAAAAUCUUAUGCAAAAAUAUUUUUUGCAUGGAGAAAGGUGAUGGCGUGAAGAGAAGAGUCCAACUCAGGACUCUAGAUUUUCAUUCAAAUUUAAACCCAUUUGAACUCAAAUUUAAACCAACCAAUUUCUAAUUUAAAAAGAGAUUAGAUGUGGAUAAGGAACUACUUCUGGGUAUAAGAAAAAAUUCAUACAAAAAAAUUUCUCAUGUGAAGAAUAAGAGGGCAUAGAGAAAGGAGG